rnacentral:rRNA from 1 species
UACGGAGGGUGCGAGCGUUGUCCGGAAUCACUGAGCGUAAAGGGCGCGUCGGCGGCCUGAUAAGUAGGGGGUGAAAUCCUGCGGCUUAACCGCAGGGCUGCCUUCUAAACUGUCAGGCUAGAGCACAGUAGAGGCAGGUGGAAUUCCCGGUGUAGCGGAGGAAUGCGUAGAGAUCGGGAAGAACAUCAGUGGCGAAGGCGGCCUGCUGGGCUGUUGCUGACGCUGAGGCGCGACAGCGUGGGGAGCAAACAGG